GACGAACGCUGGCGGCGUGCUUAACACAUGCAAGUCGAGCGGAAAGGCCCUUCGGGGUACUCGAGCGGCGCACGGGUGAGUAACACGUGAGUAACCUGCCCCAGACUUUGGGAUAACCCUCGGAAACGGGGGCUAAUACCGGAUACGACACAGCUUCGCAUGGGGUCUGUGUGGAAAGUUUUUCGGUUUGGGAUGGGCUCGCGGCCUAUCAGCUUGUUGGUGGGGUGAUGGCCUACCAAGGCGACGACGGGUAGCCGGCCUGAGAGGGCGACCGGCCACACUGGGACUGAGACACGGCCCAGACUCCUACGGGAGGCAGCAGUGGGGAAUAUUGCACAAUGGGCGGAAGCCUGAUGCAGCGACGCCGCGUGAGGGAUGACGGCCUUCGGGUUGUAAACCUCUUUCAGCAGGGACGAAGCGUAAGUGACGGUACCUGCAGAAGAAGCGCCGGCCAACUACGUG
rnacentral:rRNA from 1 species